UUUCACAUUGUCGUUUAUUAAUCACAUUGUCGUUCUUACUGCAAAUAAAUCAGUUCUACUUAUUUAGAGUCUUAUAAUUGACACUGGUAAAUCUUAUUUUGUUGGAUAAAUUCAGAGAUGCGCGUCACCAUUGUCCUUCUGGAAAGCUGAGUAGGGGUUUGACGAGUGAUAUGUAUUUGGCUAGUUGUGGAUGAUAGGGGUCGAGAACCAUGAGGUUUCAGGUUCAAAUGGUAGUAAAUGCAUAAAUUAGGUGAUGUCUUCCUAGCUAUCUAAGUUUUGGUGGAUAGAGUUGCGGGUACCUGUGCAGGUAGCCAGUGGGAGAUUGCAGGUACCCCUUGGAAUGGUUGAGAUUCGUGCAAGCUAGCUGGGACACUGUGUUUGUUAAAAGAAAGGAUUGUCCCCUAUUGUCCUCUCGGACGAGGAUUCAUCUCAGCAGAGGCAAAGUUGAUUGAAAUCUUGCCUGAUGGUGACUUUUGCAAGAAUUUCCCUAGGUUCAAGCCAGAGAAUUUUGAGCAUAAAGCAAGUAUUUGAGAAAAUCAAUUAGCAUUGGCAUGGGUUCUUCAUCAAGGAGAUGAUGUAUGCCCUAUACAAGGCACUACGAAGAUUGAAAACAUCAACAAAAAGAUAGGAGCCUUAUCUGUAAAAUUGACAACGGAAGACAAGAAAGAACUCGAAUCGUGUACCUCUGGUGAAGUUGUCAAAGGUGAGAGACAUGUAUACAUGUCGUCAACUUGGGAGACUCUGCCAUUGUCCUCCCUAGAAAGCUGAAUAGGGGUUUGACAAGUGUUAUCUGUUUGGCUUCUUAUGAUGCUCAAACUCUCCAAAGAUAUUAUUGCGCCCAUGUCGGAUUCUCCAAAAAUGUAAAAUGGAAAAUCCAAUAUACACUCGGAAGACAGUUUGA